rnacentral:tRNA from 1 species
GUUGUGAUUCUGGCUCAGAGGUAGAGUGCUUGCCUAGCAUGCAUGAGACACUGGGUUCAAUCCUCAGCACUACA